UUUGAAAUCUGGCGUCUUCGACGUCCGAGUUGUAAUUUGAAGAAGGCGACUUUGUAGCUGGUCCUUGUCUAUGUUCCUUGGAACAGGACGUCAUAGAGGGUGAGAAUCCCGUGUGGCGAGGAUCCCAGUUAUUUGUAAAGUGCUUUCGACGAGUCGAGUUGUUUGGGAAUGCAGCUCUAAGUGGGUGGUAAAUUCCAUCUAAAGCUAAAUAUUGGCGAGAGACCGAUAGCGAACAAGUACAGUGAUGGAAAGAUGAAAAGAACUUUGAAAAGAGAGUGAAAAAGUACGUGAAAUUGUUGAAAGGGAAGGGCAUUUGAUCAGACAUGGCGUUUGCUUCGGCUUUCGCUGGGCCAGCAUCAGUUUUAGCGGUUGGAUAAAUCCUCGGGAAUGUGGCUCUGCUUCGGUAGAGUGUUAUAGCCCGUGGGAAUACAGCCAGCUGGGACUGAGGAUUGCGACUUUUGUCAAGGAUGCUGGCGUAAUGGUUAAAUGCCG
rnacentral:rRNA from 1 species